GAUGAAGAACGUAGUGAAAUGCGAUACUUGGUGUGAAUUGCAGAAUCCCGUGAACCAUCGAGUCUUUGAACGCAAGUUGCGCCCGAAGCCACUAGGCCGAGGGCACGCCUGCCUGGGCGUCACACGCCGUUGCCCCCCCAUCUACUCCUUCGGGAUUGCGGGGGGGCGGAUGAUGGCCUCCCGUGCGCCUAGCCGCGCGGUUGGCAUAAAUACCAAGUCCUCGGCGACGCACGCCACGACAAUCGGUGGUUGCGAAACCUCGGUUGCCCGUCGUGUGCGUUCGUCGCGCAUCGAGGGCUCGAAAAAAUGCUCGGCUCCGGCUGGGCUUUCAACGCGACCCCAGGUCAGGCGGGGUUACCCGCUGAAUUUAAGCGUAUCAAUAAGCGGAGGA
rnacentral:misc_RNA from 1 species